GACGAACCGUGCGAACGUUAUUCGGAAUCAUUGGGCUUAAAGCGCGUGUAGGCGGGUUCGUGCGUCCGACGCUGAAAUCCCCCGGCUCAACCGGGGAACGGGCGGGGAUACGACGAGCCUGGAGGGGCGUAGGGGGACCUGGAACUUCCGGUGGAGCGGUGAAAUGCGUUGAGAUCGGAAGGAACGCCCGUGGCGAAAGCGAGGUCCUGGACGCCUACUGACGCUGAGACGCGAAAGCCAGGGGAGCGAA
rnacentral:rRNA from 1 species